UUCGUCCAAGUGAAGCAGAGGACAGUGGCGGACGGGUGAGUAACGCGUGAGGAACCUGCCUUUCAGAGGGGGACAACAGUUGGAAACGACUGCUAAUACCGCAUGACACAUUGGGGUCGCAUGGCCUUGAUGUCAAAGAUUUAUUGCUGAAAGAUGGGCUCGCGUCUGAUUAGAUAGUUGGUGAGGUAACGGCCCACCAAGUCGACGAUCAGUAGCCGGACUGAGAGGUUGAACGGCCACAUUGGGACUGAGAUACGGUCCAAACUCC
rnacentral:rRNA from 1 species